rnacentral:lncRNA from 1 species
CUCUCCAGUGUUAAAGAUGAAAAUAAAUCUUAUUUUCCAAAGAAUGAAUAAUGAUUAAGUCAGUUUUCUUUAUACAUUAGACUUUACAGAAUGUAUUAAAAAUGUGCAUUUCUUAAUCAUGGACUUACUAUAAGAUUCUAUAGCUGGAUAAACAUCGAUGCUAUAGUGAUAAGUAAACAGAUAAGGGAAUAAAAUUAUAGUGCUUCCUUGUUAAUUAGCAUGCUGUUCUAAACCUAUUAACAAGGAUGGAAUCACUCUUUCCAGGGAAGGCUGACUGGAGAAGCCUGGUGAGGCUAUAAUCCCAAGAGUGAGACAAUUUGAUUGGUGUCCCAUUACUCUCAGGUCUCCUUUGUCUUAUCCUCAACCAAUUCCUUUGCUAGGUAACUUCCAAUGAAAUUUUUUUUUACAUGUAAUGCAUUAGGCUUAUUUUUUAAGAGUUGACUCUAGAUUCAUUAAUGUUGCGCUGUACUGAUAGUAACUCAUGAAUACUAAUCAAUGAAGUCUUAUUGUUCAGAAGCAAACCAUCUGUUUUAAAUACAACAAUUUAGAAUUAAGUGACUAUGUUCUUCUAAGUAAUUAUCAGAUCAUGAGAAAUAAGAAUGAGGCCUUUUUUUCUAUGAUGUUCAGACUUAUCCUGAUGUUCCCCACUUCUGAGAAGUUAAUGGUUAUUGAGAUUUCAAAGCAAAUUCAUCUGCUCUUGGUGUCUGUGCCUCCUCAGGAGUGGGGCUGAAGUUCUAGAGCCUGGCUCUUCUGUUGGCUUGUUGCCCCUCUGUUACAAUGACCAUGAAGCUGUCUUCCACAUAUUGGGGGACCAAGAAGGGAGAAGAUUCAAAGAACCAGCAUUUUACUCUGGAGUGAAUUCUAAAGCCAGAGAAAUGGACAAUACUCCGUUGCUACCGAAUUUGAAGGUGAAUCUCAUAAAGUUACAGGUGUAUCUGAG